rnacentral:lncRNA from 1 species
AAGGCACGGAGUUAGAUGGACCAGUGGACCAAUCGGAGAAUUAGUUGCCUCUUGAUUGACGGCUGAAACAAAGGCUGUGGCUCAAGUCUCGCCCAAAUCUCCGCUCUCACGAGAUCGAAGAGCUUUGAUAAAAGCCGGGCUUUUCAGAAACGAAAACAACAUCUUUGAAGAAUGAAAAGUACUUAAAUCAUGUGAAACGGGCGACGGUGUCCUCAGCAUGACAUCUCACAGGCGGAAACGUUCGAGUAUAGACGAUGACGAAUUUGAACAACUGUAUCAAUCCAUCUGUCAAAGUCAGACUGAAGACCACAUCCCCACGCAUCUCCUGACAAAGCAAUCCAGUCCUUUAAACGCAGGCAAGAAGCAGAUCUUGGAGAAGGGUUAUCCCUCUGGGCAGUCACUCAAAGCCACUCGCACGCUCCUGUGUAGUGACCGGUCGCCUGUGUGUUUGCAGAGGCCACAGUGGCAGGGUGGUGCCUCCUUGUGUUCCAGCAACAAGGAGGUAGAGGUGCCGAACGUCAACGAAACGCUGGCCAAUAAGCGCCUGACCCCCCGUCCGCCGGACUGCGCAACCGACGCAGACGCCCUUCGCUUGCCAGAUGGCCCGUUCCGUCCGACGAGAGACGGGGAGGCUGCCCGCAGCCCGUCGGAGGCCGAGGGCGAGCCUUCGCACGACGAAGUGAGCAUCCUGGAGGACGACGACUUCGGGUUCCGGGCCGACGUGGUGCGCCUCCCGGAAGCGGGGGGGGAAAGCGAGGGCCACGACACCGCCGCCGCCGCCGAGGACGGCUUGUCGUGGGCGUCCGGAGAGGAGUAUGAUGCCGCGAGACUCUGUGACGCCUGCGUGGCGCUCUUCCAGAAAAUGCACUCCGCCAAGAAGACGAAGAUGAAGAAGAAGAAGAAGAAGAUUGACUAUAGUAAGUUACAUUUUGCUGCAGGGGAAGAGGCAUGGUGA